rnacentral:rRNA from 1 species
UACGAAGGGGGCUAGCGUUGAUCGGAAUUACUGGGCGUAAAGGGCGCGUAGGCGGAUAUUUAAGUUAGAGGUGAAAGCCCAGGGCUCAACCCUGGAAUAGCCUUUAAUACUGGAUAUCUUGAGUUCGGGAGAGGUGAGUGGAAUGCCGAGUGUAGAGGUGAAAUUCGUAGAUAUUCGGCGGAACACCAGUGGCGAAGGCGACUCACUGGCCCGAUACUGACGCUGAGGCGCGAAAGCGUGGGGAGCAAACAGG